rnacentral:rRNA from 1 species
GUAUCUAAAAGGGUUGGUAGAGCCAGCUUUAUAAAGACAAUUUAAUGGCCGCGGUAACACUGACCGUGAUAAUGUAGCGUAAUCAAUAGUCAAUUAAUUGUUGGCCGGUAUGAAUGGUGUCACGAGGGUCUCACUGUCUUAAGGAAAUUUCCAGUGAAAUUGAAUUUGUAGUGAAGAUGCUACAUCCAAAUUGUUAGACAAGAAGACCCCAUGGAACUUUACUGGAGACUUAUGUGGCUUAAAGUAAUUUACUUCUUACAAAUAAAUAGUUUUAAAAUGUGGUGUUAACCUCUCAGAUUAAUUAGGGUUAUAAAAGCUCACUCUUUUAUUUAAAGAAAGUCAACUCAAAAGUUAUGUCUUUGGGACUUGAUAAGUGGGACAGUUUGGUUGGGGCGACCGCCUUUAAAAAAGUAACGAAGGCGGGCUUAAGAUACAUAUUUAGUGAUGUCUGACUGCCAAGGGGAGAUCCUGAGCAGACACUUACUUUUUAGGUGGGUUUAAGUGACCCGUUAAUUUAGGGUGAAAUAGUUAACGAUAAACAAAUAAAAGUUACCCUGGGGAU